rnacentral:tRNA from 1 species
GCGGGGAUGUCCGAGCGGUCAAAGGAGCUGGGCUUAGGACCCAGUGGCGUAGGCCUGCGUGGGUUCGAGAGAUGAAAAUUCCGAAAAACCCACUCCCCGCACCA